rnacentral:rRNA from 1 species
AGAGUUUGAUCCUGGCUCAGGACGAACGCUGGCGGCGCGCUUAACACAUGCAAGUCGAGCGAGAACCAGGACUUCGGUCCUGGGGACAGCGGCGAACGGGUGAGUAACGCGUGGGAACCUGCCCUGUGGUACGGAAUAACCCUGGGAAAUCGGAGCUAAUACCGGAUACGAGACGAAGCUGCAUGGCUAUCGUCUGGAAAGUUUUUCGGUCUGGGAUGGACUCGCGGCCUAUCAGCUUGUUGGUGAGGUAAUGGCUCACCAAGGCGACGACGGGUAGCCGGCCUGAGAGGGCGACCGGCCACACUGGGACUGAGACACGGCCCAGACUCCUACGGGAGGCAGCAGUGGGGAAUAUUGCACAAUGGGCGAAAGCCUGAUGCAGCGACGCCGCGUGAGGGAUGACGGCCUUCGGGUUGUAAACCUCUUUCAGCAGGGAAGAAGCGAAAGUGACGGUACCUGCAGAAGAAGCACCGGCUAACUACGUGCCAGCAGCCGCGGUAAUACGUAGGGUGCGAGCGUUGUCCGGAAUUAUUGGGCGUAAAGAGCUCGUAGGCGGUUUGUCGCGUCGAAUGUGAAAACCCGGGGCUCAACCCCGGGCCUGCAUUCGAUACGGGCAGACUAGAGUUCGGUAGGGGAGUCUGGAAUUCCUGGUGUAGCGGUGAAAUGCGCAGAUAUCANGAGGAACACCGGUGGCGAAGGCGGGACUCUGGGCCGAUACUGACGCUGAGGAGCGAAAGCGUGGGGAGCAACAGGAUUAGAUACCCUGGUAGUCCACGCC